rnacentral:lncRNA from 1 species
GCUUGCCCUGGCGUUUAUGGCAAGGGGGCUUAUCCUGGUUAUGCUGGUAACUUGUUGGUCGAUUCUACUACUGGUGCCAGCUAUAAUGCACAUGGCAGUAAUGGAAGGAAAUACCUGCUCCCUGCUUUGUACGAUCCUUCAACAUCAACUUGUUCUACUUUGGUCUGAAAAUGCGAGGGCAGUGAAAGUAGGAUCACCAGGGGAUCAGUAGAAAAUUAUGCAUACGCUAUAAAUAGUGUGAGACUUUGUAAUUCAUUUAUUUGUUGAAUUUUUUGGCUUGUGCGGAUCGAUAAU